UCCAACAUAGCUCAGCCGGUAGAGCAGCUGACUGUUAAUCAGCGGGCCGCAGGUUCAAGUCCUGCUGUUGGAG
rnacentral:tRNA from 1 species